GGGGAACCCAAGGAGGACGCAGGUCCUGGGUAGGGAAAGCCGAGGCCCAGCCUAAGUCUUGGCGGACAUCGCCUCUUGCUUCCCACAGUGCCGGGCGGCGGUGUCCGUCGCCUUCGCUGAAGUGGAGCGGCGGCUGCGCUCGGGUGGGGCGGCUCAAGCAGCGUUGCAGACGGAGCUGAGCGCUUGCGGGCCCCUGGGCCGCGCUGAAAACCAGGCGGAGCUGUUGGGGGCGCUGCAGGCACUGGUGGGAGGUGUAGUGCAGUAUGAUGGGCAGACGGGAGCGCCGCUAAGCGUGCGACAGCUCUGCGGACUUCUCCUCGGGGGCGGGGGCAACCGCAGCCACUCCACGCCCUACUGCGGGCUUCGUCGGGCGGUGCAGAUGUCACCUGUGAGAAUCCCAGAUGUCCUUUCUCCCAGCUCCCAGCACUGCCCUCCCAGCUAGACCUAUGUGAGCAGGUGUUUGGGCUCUCAGCCUUGUCAGUAGCCCAGGCUGUGGCUCAGACGAACUCCUACUACGGUGGCCAGACCCCUGGGGCUAACAAAGUGCUGUUUGUUAAUGGGGACACAGACCCCUGGCAUGUGCUAAGUGUAACACAGGCUUUAGGAUCCUCAGAAUCAACUCUUCUUAUCCGCACUGGCUCCCACUGCUUGGACAUGGCACCUGAGAGGCCCUCAGACUCCCCCAGCCUCCGCCUAGGGCGCCAGAACAUCUUCCAGCAGCUACAGACCUGGCUCAAGCUGGCAAAGGAGAGCCAGAUUAAGGGUGAAGUCUGAAUCUCAUACCCUUUCCACUCCCUGCAUGGUCACCUCAGUCCUGGACAUACUUGUUCACUGAACAAA
rnacentral:sRNA from 1 species